rnacentral:rRNA from 1 species
AUGGAUGAGCGUCCUUGCCCACCACCUCGAUUCCAGUUUGAGGUAUUCUGGCUUAGCCAACCGGGUUUCAUAGCGGCUAUCAGAGACCAUUGGAUUGCGGCCCGAGCUGAACCUCACCGAGCCAUGUCAGUAAUGGACGAUUGGCAUCAUUUGGCGAAACGCUCCAGGCAAUUCAUGAAAGGCUGGGCAAACGUUGGGCGGGACUUGCGGGUCCAGAAACAGUCUUUGCUCAUGGAGAUUCGGACACUUGACAUUCGGGCUGACGGCCCGGGUCUCUGUUCCGAGGAUUGGGCACUUUGAUAUAGCCUUGAAGAUACCCUGACUGACAUCCAUGCCAAAUAAGAAGAGUAUUGGCGCCAGCGUGGCUCUUUCAAUUGGAUCCUCUUUGGUGAUGCCAACACGGCAUAUUUUCAGGCGAUUGCCAAUGGCCGUCGGCGGCGUUGCACCAUCCCCAUCCUUUGGGACGGGGAUCGGUUGUUACAGGACCCGGACGGGAUUCGGGCGCAUGUAGACAGGUUCUAUACGGCCCUGUUCUCCGCUCUAACUCGAGGGGGCCUAGCUCUAGCGGAUAACUUUUGGGAAGAACAUCUACGUGUCUCUCCCGAAGAGAACCAGUCUCUUCUUGCCCCCUUUGAAGAGACGGAGGUGGAGGCCAUUAUUAAGUCCAUGAACCCGGCCUCUGCCCCGGGUCCGGACGGCCUCCCGGACCGUUCUUUUCAGAUAUUCUGGCCCACCAUCAAGGGCGAGAUUCUGGCUCUAUUCCUCGAAUUUUCGAGGGGGGCCCUUGAUGUGGCCCCCCUUAACUAUGAGAUCAUCUCUUUGAUCCCUAAGGUCCAGGGGGCAUCGGAUAUACGGCAGUUCCACCCUAUCACGGUCAUUAAUGUGAUCUUCCGGAUUCUGGCCAAGGGGUACGCCACUAGGGUGGCUUUGUUGGCUCCGAGAAUCCAUCAGCCGAACCAAUCGGCGUUCAUGAAGGGACGAUUUAUACUUGACGGGGUCCUAGUACUUCAUGAGAUCCUCCAUGAGGUCAAAAGAAAGCACCUCCAAGCUGUUUUCUUCAAGAUUGACUUCCAUAAGGCCUAUGAUACGGUUCAUUGGUCCUUUCUCCUGGAGGUCAUGGAGAAGCUGUUGGGGAACGUAGCAAUAAUUCAAAAUUUUCCUAUGUGUCACCAAGACCAAUCUAGGAGAUGCUAG